UGCGUAGGUGGCUAAUUAAGUCAGUGGUGAAAGCCUGCAGCUUAACUGCAGAGGUGCCAUUGAUACUGGUUAGCUUGAGUAUGGACGAGGUAGGCGGAAUUUGUGGUGUAGCGGUGAAAUGCAUAGAUACCACAAAGAACACCGAUAGCGAAGGCAGCUUACUGGACCAUAACUGACACUGAGGCACGAAAGCGUGGGGAGCGAACAGGAUUAGAUACCCUGGUAGUCC
rnacentral:rRNA from 1 species